rnacentral:rRNA from 1 species
CCUACGGGAGGCAGCAGUGAGGAAUAUUGGUCAAUGGGCGAGAGCCUGAACCAGCCAAGUAGCGUGAAGGAUGAAGGUCCUACGGAUUGUAAACUUCUUUUAUACGGGAAUAAAGUGAGGCACGUGUGCCUUUUUGUAUGUACCGUAUGAAUAAGGAUCGGCUAACUCCGUGCCAGCAGCCGCGGUAAUACGGAGGAUCCGAGCGUUAUCCGGAUUUAUUGGGUUUAAAGGGAGCGUAGGCGGACGCUUAAGUCAGUUGUGAAAGUUUGCGGCUCAACCGUAAAAUUGCAGUUGAUACUGGUUUCCUUGAGUGCAGUUGAGGCAGGCGGAAUUCGUGGUGUAGCGGUGAAAUGCUUAGAUAUCACGAAGAACCCCGAUUGCGAAGGCAGCUUGCUAAACUGUAACUGACGUUCAUGCUCGAAAG